GAAACAAUGAGAGUAUUGGUCACCAGGCGGUUUUGGAUGGACCCACUGAGUUUGGGGAAGAACGGAUUCAGUCGAACAAACUCCAAAAGAUCCAUGGGCAAACACACACAACAACACCAAAACAAUCCUGAAUUCCUUCUUUAUGAUGCUGAAACGCCAAAAAAGUGAUGUCAAUCAUGACGAAGCCAUGGGUAUUGGUCACUAUAGGAGGUUUCAG
rnacentral:misc_RNA from 1 species